CUGUAUGAAUGGCAUAACGAGGGUUUAACUGUCUCCCUCCCCCAGUCAAUGAAAUUGAUCUGCCCGUGCAGAAGCGGACAUAAACACAUAAGACGAGAAGACCCUAUGGAGCUUUAGACAAAAGAUCAAACAUGUAAAGAAACCAAACCAACCAAAAGGAACACAAAGGCCACAAAACCCAACGUAAAAUGAUCAAAAUGUCUUCGGUUGGGGCGACCAUGGGGGAAAGAAAAGCCCCCACGAGGAACUAAGGGCAAUCCAUUAAGCCAAGAGAUACACCUCUAAGCAACAGAAAAUCUGACCAAAAAUGACCCAGGACACUAAUCCUGAUCAACGAACCAAGUUACCCUAGGGAUAACAGCGCAAUCCUUUCCCAGAGUCCAUAUCGACGAAAGGGUUUACGACCUCGAUGUUGGAUCAGGACAUCCUAAUGGUGCAGCCGCU
rnacentral:rRNA from 1 species